rnacentral:tRNA from 1 species
GUGUCGUUGGUGUUAGCGGUUAGCAUGGGAGCUUGUGAAGCUUUUGGGACGGGUUCGAAUCCCGUAUGGCACAC